UUCUUGAGUUAAGGCAUUCUCUGACUGGAGCAAAUUCCCAAUAUCUGUUCUGCAACUUUCGUGAUUAUUUAUUUGUCUCCCUCUUAGGCACCCGGAUCAUUUAUGAUCGCAAGUUUCUGUUAGACCGUCGCAAUUCUCCAUUGGCACAGACUCCACCCCGCCGUUUGCCAGAUAUUCCUGGGGUUACCAGCCCCAUUACGGUUGCAGCAGAAUCCAAAGUAGAAACCAACAACUUAAACAAUCAUGACAGAAAGACUGCUGUUGGUAAGUGUAUUUGUGUCUCUGCAAAAAAAAAAUUGAGGUCCUUGCACCUUUUUCUUUAUUAAAAUUUACUAAUUGUGCCUUAUUUGUGCUCAUUACAUUUUUCUGUUUGUUUUUAGGAGAUGAUGCUCAAUUUGAAAUGGACAUCUGAUCUACUGGAUGUUUGGCAAGAUCUCCCAAAACUUGCGUGUACCUGACUUGGCCAAUCGGAUCAUUUAAUGAGAAACCUGUCUACAGCGCAGUUUUGAGUUUAGAAACCUGCCCUUCAUGGUGCCAAAGGUCAACGCAAACAAGCUCCCAUUUUGUUUUUCCUCUUUCCAUUCCCCUUUCCCCCCCACCUUUCCCUUCUAACUGCCGAGACUAUUCCCACCUCAACUAGCAGCAAGUGUGGUGGUUCUGGAGAGACUUGUGACACGAUUCUAAAUGGCUUGAUGUUGGCAAGUGGGGAAAAAAAGAUUAUAGUUUGCCAAUGUGUACUAUAGCGAUCUUACAAAAGAAAUAUAUAUGUAAAUGGUUGGUGACAGGAUUGAAAAAUGUACACCUCCUUUAAUGCUUACUUUACGCCGUUAUUUUUUUUAAAUGUUUGGCAGAGUAAUGAAGCCAAUGUGGAUUUGCUUUUUUGACCUCCCUAAAGGCUCAUACCUUUAAAUGAUAUUUUGUAAAUCUUUGACUAGUUCUUAGGUGCUGUAAAUACCACCAGGGACCUCUCUAUGCUACCUUUUCGUUAUCACCAGACUUGUCAUUUAAAGUAUGACACCUUAAGAUAACUGCCUGGUCUUUGCAUCAUUUUAAGAAUUGUUUUCCGAUCAGCUCUCUUCCAUGCCCUUGCUUAUCUUUUUGUAAGGUAAACUUUGGUCAGUUUUGUAACUUUUACAAAUUAAUUUUUUUUUUUUUUUUAAUAGUUUGGUUUCUUGCGAUCAAAAAAGAACCUAAUCUUCCCUUAUUACUGAUGUUCUUUUCUGUUGUGCAAUUAACAAAAGGGCAAUAUAAAUGGAAGUAGGCCUUUAAGCAUUAAGGUAGUCGAUUGUUAAUUUGGAGUCAUCCUUCCAGAGGUGUAAUGAAUUUUCUACAUUCAUUUAUGGUCAGUAUGUUUGCUACUGUUUCACUUCUCAGUAGAUAUCAGUAUCUUGACAUGGUCACUGAUAGAAAGGUGUUUCUAGAAUAAGCACUUUUUUUUUUUUUUUUUUCUGCUUUUCUCUCCUUUCCCAACUGUUGAGGACAAUCGACAAGCAAAUCAUGUAACUAGAUGAAGGCAAAGUAGAGGGGAUUAGACCUGAACAAAAUCGAUGGAUGGAUACUUUUUUAGGUCCGAUCUAAGAAAAUAUUAAUAAAGUUUACCUCCAUGCCUGCUUACACAUUACAUGUUUCUUUAACGUGAUUUGGUGUUUCUCUUGUCCACUUUCAAAUUCAAUCAGCCAGUGUCCAAAUUUCAUUAUCCGAAUGGAGCGGCAUUGAGGCAAAAUGCAUUGGCCCUAUAUGAUCACUUUUCCUUUUUUUUUUUUUUUUUUAAGUUUUCUUUUUCAGACUGAAUUGAUCAUAAGGUGCUGAUAAAAGUCUCAGGCUGUGCUGAGUUGCUGUUUUUGAAUGUAGGAUUUUAUUUUAUUUUUUUUCCCUUGUUUGCUUGGAAUCAAUUUGAACUAUACAAAAUAAACAAUUGUGCUCGAUAGAGCACAAUCUUAUUGGUUGGUAAUCUUCUAGAAGUACAUCUUUCUUGUAUAUCUAAUUCUUGUUUUUUGUUUUGUUUUUUACUCUGUGAUUAAGGGUCAUACACAUGGUAUUGAGACAAUAUUGACACCAGGCUGCCUGUUACUGUGUGUCAAGCAAGCAAACCUGAACUGCAUAGUAAUGACAGAUAAUUCUGUUAUUACCCAAUAUUUGCAAUUACUUUUCAAUUUUCUAGAAUUUCUCAGUUCACUGAAUAAACACUUGAGCAUUUGGCACGUUUACUGCAGUUGAAAAUAGGAAUCUUCCACAAAAAAGCAUUUCUUUUUAAUGCCAGCCUAAAAAAGUAAUCUAUUCAAAAUUGCUGUUUUAGCAGCUAACAUUCAGUUAAAGGCACAACUUAGGCAACAAAACUUCUACUACUCAGUGUAAUGCUAUGUCGCCUCAAAUUUCUGGACCAUGGUUUUACAUAAAACUAUUUAGAAAUGAUUUAAAGAGACACUCUACAGCGCCCACGGGCUGCCUCCUUCUCAACAUUGAUUGUCUCAGCAUGCUGAUCUAACCCAUCCAAUUUCUCUCAGCCAGUGAUUGUUGUCUAGGUUGGUUGAAGUUGACUUUUAAAAUGCAGAAGUGUUCCACAUUCUCAAGGUGGUUGUGAAGGAGUUAGUCUGUGGUGGACUGUUCCAGGUUUAUCAAGCCUCUUCUAAAUGGUUUGACAUAAUACUGGAUGGCUCACAGCCACAUUGCAGCUACAAAGAGCUGUACUAGAUAAGUUGCUGAUAUGUUUACUUAACAAAAACACACACAAACACUGUUUGCUUUAAAGGUACAUUUAUAACUCAAAACUAGGUGCUCAAAUUUUAUAAACAUUUUUCAUUAAAGGGACACUGUAGGCCCUCAAACCGCUUUAGCUCAUUGAAGUAUUCUGGGUGCAAUGUCCCUUAACCCUGCAAUAGUAAUUAUUGCAGUUAUUGAGAAAUUGCAAUCAUUACUGUUCAGGGUUAACUCCAUCUCUAGUGACUGUCUACCAGACAGCCACUAGAGGGACUUCCUGAAUUGAAACAGACUUUUGGUCCGGUAUCUGACGCUGGACGCCUUCACGCGUCAUAUCCAUUUAUUUAUUUUUCCCAUAGGGGGAAAUUCUAAUGUGAGUGUGACCAUUUCCUGGCAAGCGCAUUAGAUCUCUCCAGCUGGCGGGGCAGACGCAUGCGUGGCAAUGGGAGGGUGGGCGGAGCCUGAUCCAGCGCCAAGGGACAUCUGCGCUGGAUUCAGGUAAGUGACUGCAGGGGUUUUAACUCAUUCAGCCCUGAGGAAGAGAGGGGGGCACUUUAGGAUUCUAUAGUGCCAGGAAAACUGCUUUGUUUUCCUGGCACUAUAGAAUCCCUUAAAGAUGUAACCGUGUGCUAGAGGAAGUCCUUAUAAAAGACUAUGCAGGCACAUAUUCUGACAUCAGUGUUUGGAGAAGGUUGACCGCAUGACUUGUGAGCCUUAACAAUGCAUGGUUGUAAAAUAAAGCACUUGCCUCGCUUAUGGCUGGAGGCAGCUAUUACCUUUUUGCUAAUUAGCAAAUCAACAAUGCAAUUGGUUCUAGCAGAAAAGGAAUUAAUUUUAAAUAAAUUAUAUUUUUGGUGAGCGAUUUCUUUUUAACUUUUGGGCUUAUUGUUGCAACUUAUUGUGACAUGCUCCUUGCAACCACAGAAUGUAUCUUAAACAUGUACUGAUGCCUAGAAGAAAACAAUUGUGGCAAAUGUUAAAACCAAAGAAAAGUCACUUGCGCACAAUCCCUAUGCACAUUUAAAUAUCUUAAGGUUUUUUUGGGUCAUUUUUUAAUGGUCACGUUUUUAAAAAUGUGCAUAGGAUUUUUGGGUAGGGUGCAAAAAAAUAUAUAUUGUGUUGGGGCUGAUGUGUACUAUGGUCAUUGCUGCCACCCAGGAGUAAUGGUAGUUUGAGUGCAGGGCUUAAUUUUGUAGGUUUGUAAUUGUGGCAAAUUGCUCACGGGCAGUAGGUUAUGGGUCUUGAGUAAUAGUUACUAAAAGCAAUCAUAUUGCUCCCCAACCGCUCUAAAAUAUGGGUGCAGAAGUUUGGAUUUGACAUAUUUUUUUUAUUUUUUAAAGAUGAAUGUAUUUUGACCCAUAUCUUUUUGUAGCCUUUCCUCUUUUCAGUACACACUUAAGUCUGUGUAGCAGCCAUAUUUUAAAUGAUUUUUUUUUUUUUUAACUCCUGUUUCUGUAACAAACCGCUAGUGAGUCUCUGCCAAUCCUGAUUAAGUCCCCGUAUUAAGAAAUUGCAUUUUAAGAUUCAAAAGUUCAAACUAUGCAUGGUUCUUUGUGGAUGGCCAUUUUUAGAAGUCCUCUAACUAAAGGAUCACAUAGCCCAAAGAUGAUAUAAACCUGUGUGUUCACUACAAAUAAUAUAGGUUAUAAUAUAUGUAAUCUUGUAUUUUCAAUAAAAAAAAAUUAUGCUGGGAAAUCUGCAAAAGUAAGAUUGCAGUAAAUUGUAAUAUCACCUAUAAAACCUUUUUUAUACCACCAUAUCAUGGCCCUUUGUAAUUGAUUCUAAGGCAGAACUGAUCUUGUACAAAAGACCUUGAUAGAGUAGGCGUUGGGGGUUAUGUACAACGUGACUUACUUGAGUGCAGUUCUAAAUGUGGAACAGUCUCUUUAUGUAAAACUAUAGAAUGUUCCAAUUUUAGAUUAUAUAUAUAUAUAUAUA